GAUGAACGCUGACAGAAUGCUUAACACAUGCAAGUCUACUUGAAUUUGGGUUUUUUAACUUCGAUUUGGGUGGCGGACGGGUGAGUAACGCGUAAAGAACUUGCCUCACAGCUAGGGACAACAUUUGGAAACGAAUGCUAAUACCUGAUAUUAUGAUUAUAGGGCAUCCUAGAAUUAUGAAAGCUAUAUGCGCUGUGAGAGAGCUUUGCGUCCCAUUAGCUAGUUGGAGAGGUAACGGCUCACCAAGGCGAUGAUGGGUAGCCGGCCUGAGAGGGUGAACGGCCACAAGGGGACUGAGACACGGCCCUUACUCCUACGGGAGGCAGCAGUGGGGAAUAUUGGACAAUGGACCGAGAGUCUGAUCCAGCAAUUCUGUGUGCACGAUGACGUUUUUCGGAAUGUAAAGUGCUUUCAGUUGGGAAGAAAAAAAUGACGGUACCAACAGAAGAAGUGACGGCUAAAUACGUGCCAGCAGCCGCGGUAAUACGUAUGUCACGAGCGUUAUCCGGAUUUAUUGGGCGUAAAGCGCGUCUAGGUGGUUAUGUAAGUCUGAUGUGAAAAUGCAGGGCUCAACUCUGUAUUGCGUUGGAAACUGUGUAACUAGAGUACUGGAGAGGUAAGCGGAACUACAAGUGUAGAGGUGAAAUUCGUAGAUAUUUGUAGGAAUGCCGAUGGGAAGCCAGCUUACUGGACAGAUACUGACGCUGAAGCGCGAAAGCGGGGUAGCAAACAGG
rnacentral:rRNA from 1 species